rnacentral:rRNA from 1 species
UACAGAGGUGGCAAGCGUUGUUCGGAAUUACUGGGCGUAAAGGGCGCGUAGGCGGUCCUGUAAGUCCUGUGUGAAAUCCCUCGGCUCAACCGAGGAACUGCACAGGAAACUGCGGGACUUGAGUUCGGGAGAGGGAAGCGGAAUUCCGGGUGUAGCGGUGAAAUGCGUAGAUAUCCGGAGGAACACCGGUGGCGAAGGCGGCUUCCUGGACUGGUCCUGACACUCAGGAGCGAAAGCGUGGGGAGCGAACAGG